ACGAAUUAUAUGCUUCUCAUUUCACAUCAUCUUCAACCUUUUGCUUAUGUAUCACUGACAGUCUGACAACAACAAUUGAAAAAACAAAAACAAAAACAAAAGAGCAACAAAAAAGAAGAACCCAUUUUGUAAAAUUUAUAUUGAAUCAAUCAAUAAAUCAUAACAAUAGAUGUAUAGCAUCAGAUUACAUGAAUCACAUGCUUCUCAAUUCACAACAUCUUCAACAUUUUGCCUAUGUAUGUAUACUAAUUAACAGUCUGACAACAGACUCAAUUGAAAUAAAUAAAAAAGGAGAACCCAUCUCACAAAAUUCUUUCUUUAAGUCAUCAAGACUGUAUAUCAGCAAAAAUGGGCGCAACAGCCAAAAGUUUCUUCCGAGAAAUGCAUCGAGCUUGACCGAUUCUCGAAGCAAAAGAAGGGAUUUUGUCCAUGGGGAUUUGGGUUGUUAGGGACUGGGAUGUGUAUUCUGUUGAAGAGAGAUUGAUGAGAUGCAAAGCAGUCAGAUUUUGUGAAUUGGGUUUUCUAGAUUUUGCAGUGAAUUUGGAAUCUCGGAUUUGGGCUAAAGCUCCUGGCUUUAGAUAUCUAUAAAAUGAGGCUUCUUCUUUCUUUGAUGGUGAUGAUGUGCAGGAGCUUGUGAAUCUUGUUUUCAUGGUGUCAGAUGAAUUUGUAGAGGGAGAGAAAUAAACCCUAGAGAGAAAUGGAUGAUAUUGCAAAAACCCUAGAGAGAUUGAUAAACGGGAUGAGG
rnacentral:lncRNA from 1 species